rnacentral:misc_RNA from 1 species
GAAAUGCGAUAAGUAAUGCGAAUUGCAGAAUUCAGUGAAUCAUCGAAUCUUUGAACGCACAUUGCGCCCGCCAGUAUUCUGGCGGGCAUGCCUGUUCGAGCGUCAUUUCAACCAUCAAGCCCCGCGCUUGUGUUGGGGACCUGCGGCUGCCGCAGGCCCUGAAAACCAGUGGCGGGCUCGCUGUCACACCGGGCGUAGUAGAUUUUAUCUCGCUCAGGGCGUGCUGCGGGUUCCGGCCGUUAAAAAGCCUUUUUUACCCAAGGUUGACCUCGGAUCAGGUAGGAAGACCCGCUGAACUUAAGC